UGGGGAAUUUUGGACAAUGGGGGCAACCCUGAUCCAGCAAUGCCGCGUGUGUGAAGAAGGCCUUCGGGUUGUAAAGCACUUUUGUCCGGAAAGAAAUCCCCUGGGAUAAUACCUCGGGGGGAUGACGGUACCGGAAGAAUAAGCACCGGCUAACUACGUGCCAGCAGCCGCGGUAAUACGUAGGGUGCGAGCGUUAAUCGGAAUUACUGGGCGUAAAGCGUGCGCAGGCGGUUUUGUAAGACAGGUGUGAAAUCCCCGGGCUUAACCUGGGAAUUGCACUUGUGACUGCAAGGCUAGAGUGUGUCAGAGGGGGGUAGAAUUCCACGUGUAGCAGUGAAAUGCGUAGAGAUGUGGAGGAAUACCGAUGGCGAAGGCAGCCCCCUGGGACAAUACUGACGCUCAUGCACGAAAGCGUGGGGAGCAAACAGGAUUAGAUACCCCCGUAGUCC
rnacentral:rRNA from 1 species